rnacentral:rRNA from 1 species
UAAGCCGCCCGAGGAUGGGCCGGCGGCCGAUUAGGUAGUUGGUGGGGUAACGGCCCACCAAGCCGAAGAUCGGUACGGGCCAUGAGAGUGGGAGCCCGGAGAUGGACACUGAGACACGGGUCCAGGCCCUACGGGGCGCAGCAGGCGCGAAACCUCCGCAAUGCGGGCAACCGCGACGGGGGGACCCCCAGUGCCGUGGCACAGCCACGGCUUUUCCGGAGUGUAAAAAGCUCCGGGAAUAAGGGCUGGGCAAGGCCGGUGGCAGCCGCCGCGGUAAUACCGGCGGCCCAAGUGGUGGCCGCUAUUAUUGGGCCUAAAGCGUCCGUAGCCGGGCCCGUAAGUCCCUGGCGAAAUCCCACGGC